CCUGCCUCAGCCUCUCAAAGUGCUGGUGCUGGGAUUACAGGCCUGAGCCACCCCACUGGCCAGAUUCUUCCUAUUGAAUGAAUGGAGAAACUGAGGCCUGGGAAGGGAGUACCUAGCACAGUGGAGGUGAAGAGGGGAUAAAGAACAUUCACAGAGCAGACUCCAUGGAGCGACAUCAUGUUUGUGAAGUUGCCCGUCACCCUGAGGUACAGAGGGAAGGUGGACUUCCAGAGCCUCUCGGAGCCUCCCGAAUUGCACCUGGCCUGGAGAAGAGCUCUAGGGAUUCACUGUCAGCAAAUCCUAUGGGCUCUAACUUCAAAAUAGUGACCACCUUCAUUGCUAUGACCUGGGUCCAAGCCACCAUCGCCUCUCACUUGAGUCACUGCAGCAGGAGUCAUCGUUACCUCCCCGCCCCCACCUCUGCUCCCAUGGUCUGUUCUCAACACAGCAGCAAGAAGGAUCCUGCUCAACUGCAAGCUUACAUCACUCCUCUGGCCUCCCAGCUCAUAGUAAAAGCCCUUAUGAGGGCCCGAGAAGCCCUUUUGGAUCUUCCCCUCCUCCUGCUCCCACGUCACCCCACCCCCCUCACUCCACUGCAGCCACACUGGGUCCUUGCCCGCCUCCCACCUGCCAGCCCGGCUCCCAUCCCAGGGCAUAUGCGACUGCUCUUCCUUCUGACACCUAGGAAGCUCAUCCCACUACCUCCUCCUGUAGGUGCCAAAGCGUCACCCUCCCUGACCACCGCCCCCACUCAGCACUCCCUCCCACUUUCCCUGUCUUAUUUUUCUUCACAGUGCACCUCAGCAGCAUAGAAUUUACCUAUGUGUUAUCUUCUCACCCUAAAUGCACCAGGAGGGCAGGGAUUUUUGUCUGUGUUGUUCGCUGCGAUAUCCCCAGCACCUACCACGCUUGGCACAGAGUGGAUGCUUCAGAAAUAUUUGGUGAGUUAAUUAACUCAUUUUACCAAGAGGUGAGCCAGGAAAGAGGCUACCUCUAGCUGAGGUUGUCCUAGAAGCGAAGACCACUAGGUCAUGAACACAGCACUGUCCGGGACGUCAAGAGACCUGGGCUCAAGUCCACCAAAUGGCCACUAUGACCCUCUGCAGUGCCCUAAGCUCCUGAGCCAGUUUCCCAAUCUAUAAAAUGGGAGUGCACAUCUCUGUCUUGCCUCCCCCAUGGGGUGGCUGAGGACAUAACGAGACAGUAAGUGCAAAGGCCCUUCUCCAGCCAUCAGGGGACAGGGAAGGGCGUGUGCCUGGGUGCUGAGGAGGGACUGCCCAGGCGAGCCUUCAGGAGGACGUUCACGGCAGGAAGCAAUGAUGACUGGACCCAACUCACUGAGAGAUGGUAGUGGCCAGCUGCAACUCAGCGACACAAAACAGCUUAUUCUUGCAGGCCUUCUCGUAGGGCAGCUGUAAGCAGACAAAGAGGAGCAGGGUCAGCCCAGGGACCCUCCUCCCCCAGCACCCCUGCCCCGACCUUCCUCGUAGCACACCGAGGCCUGUCCUUCCUGCUCGCUCUGGGAAGAGCAGUUACAGGGAGGUGAAGGUGGACGGGCUGGGAUCGUGCCACACAGCCAAGAGGGCCGUGACUGGGCCGCUCCUGGAUCCCUACCACAAGGGCACACUGUGAAGCAGGCCUCUGGUCAAGGCCAAAAACAGGCGACCUCAGUGGAAUGGUAGGCGACCUCAGUGGAAUGGUGGGUGUGCCCGCCACAUUCACAUCAUUUGAAUUAAAAAGCAACUAUUUUGAGCGUUUGAGGAGGAAAACCUAUGAGAAGACAAGCUUCCUGAGUCUUUUCAAGCCUAGGCAGCAACCGCAGUGGCAGGA